rnacentral:rRNA from 1 species
GAUGAACGCUAGCUACAGGCUUAACACAUGCAAGUCGAGGGGAAACGACAUCGAAAGCUUGCUUUUGAUGGGCGUCGACCGGCGCACGGGUGAGUAACGCGUAUCCAACCUGCCCACCACUUGGGGAUAACCUUGCGAAAGUAAGACUAAUACCCAAUGAUAUCUCUAGAAGACAUCUGAAAGAGAUUAAAGAUUUAUCGGUGAUGGAUGGGAUGCGUCUGAUUAGCUUGUUGGCGGGGUAACGGCCCACCAAGGCAACGAUCAGUAGGGGUUCUGAGAGGAAGGUCCCCCACAUUGGAACUGAGACACGGUCCAAACUCCUACGGGAGGCAGCAGUGAGGAAUAUUGGUCAAUGGACGAGAGUCUGAACCAGCCAAGUAGCGUGCAGGAAGACGGCCCUAUGGGUUGUAAACUGCUUUUAUAAGGGAAUAAAGUGAGUCUCGUGAGACUUUUUGCAUGUACCUUAUGAAUAAGGACCGGCUAAUUCCGUG